UACGUAGGGUGCGAGCGUUGUCCGGAAUUACUGGGCGUAAAGAGCUCGUAGGUGGUUUGUCGCGUCGUCUGUGAAAUUCCGGGGCUUAACUUCGGGCGUGCAGGCGAUACGGGCAAUACUUGAGUGCUGUAGGGGAGACUGGAAUUCCUGGUGUAGCGGUGAAAUGCGCAGAUAUCAGGAGGAACACCAAUGGCGAAGGCAGGUCUCUGGGCAGUUACUGACGCUGAGGAGCGAAAGCAAGGGUAGCGAACAGGAUUAGAUA
rnacentral:rRNA from 1 species